CUUCCAUUGUUUCCUCUAAAGAGUGGGAGCAAUGACCUAACGGCAAGAGUAUCUAAUGACCAAUUAAUGAAAGAAUCCUUGGUGAUCCACAAAAAAUAAAGAAAGUCUUCUUGGUUGGCCCACCCAUCUUAAAUACAAAUGGAUCCUGCUUGACUGCAUGAUAACCAUUAAUUUAACUCAGCUCGCCACCUAACGAAAUGCGUCGUCUAGCUCCCAGA
rnacentral:lncRNA from 1 species